ACAAAGAAAUACAGUGUCCCUUUAUUUGCUAUUGCAGUUCUUAUUCUAAGAAAGCUGAGUACAUUUUAAAAGCACACACAGAUAAAUAGUUCUGUAGUCUGAAAUUUCCAAUUCAAAAGCAAAAGGAGAGUUUGCAAAACAUGCUCUCAUGCAAAGAACUGCCCAUUUAUCACCAUUUGAUGAAAAUGUGUGUGUAUGUGUGUUGCAUAUAUAUACACAGCAAAGUUGGAAAAGAUGAGGCUUUGAAAACUAGUCCUAGAAAAUAGAUUUAUCCAUGCCAAUUUGUGUAUGUUUCUGUAUAUAUUUUAAAUACAAUAAGGUUGAUUACAAACAGGAGGUUCAUUUUGUUGACUUUUUUUC
rnacentral:lncRNA from 1 species